UCCAUAAGGGUUUAAGAGGUGGAUCGUGGA
rnacentral:piRNA from 1 species